GAGUUCGAGUCUCCUAACCUCCACUGACCGAACUUGGUUCCCAUCUCCAAUUUUUUUGGAGUUGAGCUCGAUUGGAGGGUGAUUUAGAUGUGUCCGCUGGAUGACCCCAGCUUCCUGUCAUUCCAAGUUUUAGGUUGAAGCCUUGAAUUUGGUUGAUAAGAUGCUGGGCUCGGAUCAAAUGAUCAAGCAAUUGAUCAUCUGAUUUGAAGUUCUAGCA
rnacentral:misc_RNA from 1 species